rnacentral:rRNA from 1 species
GACGAACGCUGGCGGCGUGCCUAAUACAUGCAAGUAGAACGCAGUUGCGAACGGGUGAGUAACGCGUAGGUAACUGCCUCAUAGCGGGGGAUAACUAUUGGAAACGAUAGCUAAUACCGCAUACUGUGAGAUGGACCUGCGUUGUAUUAGCUAGUUGGUGAGGUAAAGGCUCACCAAGGCGACGAUACAUAGCCGACCUGAGAGGGGUAGCGGCCACCCGGGGAGCGGGACACGGCCCAGACUCCGACGGGAGGCAGCAGGAGGGAAUGUUGGGCAAUGGACGGAGGUCUGACCGGGCAACGCCGCGGGAGUGAAGAAGUUUGUCGGAGCUUAAAGCCCGUUUGUUAGAGAAGGGGUAACUAACCAGAACGGGACGGCUAACUACGUGCCAGCCGCCGCGGUAAUAC